CCAUCGUCUUUUUCUGUUUGAUGCAAUAUUUUUUUUUAUCACAGCUUGAAUAGGUGCAUUACAACAAAAACCCAAAGCAAAUUGAAUGUUUGUUAUGCAACAUUUAAUAUUAGUAUGUAAAAAACAAACCAGUCUGUGUUGAAUGUUAUGUGAUCUGUUUAUUAGAACAAAUCCAACCUUUGAUCUUACAGAAGAUUGAGUUAUGAUUAUUGCUGAAUUGUGCUGGUCAGAUUAAUAUAAAUCCCAUCUACCCCAAAGCGUGUAGGAUUCAAUGCAGACUCUGCUUCUGGGAAGCAGAGGGGAGAGGUCCAGGGAUGGAGCAUCCAGGAUGACUGUAGAGGUUUAGUUAGUGAUGACUGAGUAGAUAAGGAUCUGAAAGUUCAGGGAGUAACUCUAACUGAUAUCUGCACAUGAUCAAUGCAUUAUGUUAGCAAUUUAAUCGAUACCUUUCCUCAAGUUUGUGCAAUGAUGCCAGCCAGAGAAGUCCUUCAGCAUCAGCACCACCUUCUGCCUGUUUGCUAAGUGAAACCACACUAAAAUGACUCCAUCACUGCUGAGGGGGAAGCUGGAGAGACAGACAGUUUCCAAGGCUGUGUGACCGUGACCCAUCAGAUGUCCAAGUACAACUCCCACAACUGGUCACCAGUUAAACCCAGUCAUCAUAGUGACACCGCCAUCGUUGCUGUGUAUCCAGAGAGAACAAGCAGAGACACACAGCAGCCAUCCCUGACUUUGUGGACUGGUGUGAGAGACAGGAAGAGACUCAGGAAGAGUAGAGUGGAUUUCCUAUUUGAGGCAGCUCUGUUACAUGCUCAGUACAGAGAGAAGUGUUCAGUGUGUAAAAACAAUACAAUGUUGUAG
rnacentral:lncRNA from 1 species